rnacentral:ncRNA from 1 species
AACUAAUGUAAAUUAGUUGUUGACAUACCUUGAAUUAGAUGAUAUAUUAGAAAGGUAGUCUUAAAUAGUAUUAACGCGGGAUGGAGCAGUUCGG